UACGUAGGGUGCGAGCGUUGUCCGGAAUUAUUGGGCGUAAAGAGCUCGUAGGCGGCUUGCCAAGUCGGACGUGAAAUCCCUCAGCUCAACUGAGGACGUGCAUCCGAAACUGGCGAGCUUGAGUACUGAAGAGGAUCGCGGAAUUCCCGGUGUAGAGGUGAAAUUCGUAGAUAUCGGGAGGAACACCAGUGGCGAAGGCGGCGAUCUGGGCAGAUACUGACGCUGAGGUGCGAAAGCGUGGGGAGCAAACAGG
rnacentral:rRNA from 1 species